rnacentral:rRNA from 1 species
AACGUAGGUACCGAGCGUUAUCCGGAUUCACUGGGCGUAAAGCGCGUGCAGGUGGUUUGGUAAGUCGGGCAUGAAAACUCUUGGCUCAACUGAGAGAAGCUGUCCGAUACUGCCAGACUUGAGGGUGUGAGAGGGAGGUGGAAUUCCGCGUGUAGUGGUGAAAUGCGUAGAUAUGCGGAGGAACACCAGUGGCGAAGGCGGCCUCCUGGCACACUCCUGACACUCAGACGCGAAAGCUAGGGGAGCGAACGGG